rnacentral:rRNA from 1 species
UCCAGACUCCUACGGGAGGCAGCAGUGAGGAAUAUUGGUCAAUGGCCGAGAGUCUGAACCAGCCAAGUAGCGUGAAGGAUGACUGCCCUAUGGGUUGUAAACUUCUUUUAUAUGGGAAUAAAACAGGGUAUGCAUACCCUCUUGUAUGUACCAUAUGAAUAAGGAUCGGCUAACUCCGUGCCAGCAGCCGCGGUAAUACGGAGGAUCCGAGCGUUAUCCGGAUUUAUUGGGUUUAAAGGGAGCGUAGGUGGAUUGUUAAGUCAGUUGUGAAAGUUUGCGGCUCAACCGUAAAAUUGCAGUUGAAACUGGCAGUCUUGAGUACAGUAGAGGUGGGCGGAAUUCGUGGUGUAGCGGUGAAAUGCUUAGAUAUCACGAAGAACUCCGAUUGCGAAGGCAGCAUACCGGCGCCCAACUGACGCUGAAGCACGAAAGCGUGGGUAUCGAACAGGAUUAUAUACCCGAGUAA